CGGAGAGGGAGCAUGAGAAACGGCUACCACUUCUAAGGAAGGCAGCAGGCGCGCAAAUUACCCAAUCCUGACUCAGGGAGGUAGUGACAAGAAAUAACAAUAAACCGGCUUAUGCCGGUUUAAUUGGAAUGAGUACAAUUUAAACAUCUUAACGAGGAACAAUUGGAGGGCAAGUCUGGUGCCAGCAGCCGCGGUAAUUCCAGCUCCAAUAGCGUAUACUAAAGUUGUUGCAGUUAAAAAGCUCGUAGUUGGAUUUCUGCGGGGACGGAGCGGCCGGUCGCAACUUGCGACUCGAGCUAGCGCUUUCCCCGCAUCCUGCCGCGAACCGUGCUACCAUUAGCUUGGUGGCGCUGGGGAUCGGCUCGAUUACUUUGAGAAAAAUAGAGUGUUCAAAGCAGGCCACACGCCUUGAAUAAGUUAGCAUGGAAUAAUGACUAAGGACUUCGGUUCUAUUUUGUUGGUGUUCGGGACUGAAGUAAUGAUUGAUAGGGACAGUUGGGGCGGUCUGUAUUCCAAAGCGAGAGGUGAAAUUCUUAGACCUUCGGAAGACAAACAGCUGCGAAAGCGUUCCGCAAGGAUGUUCCCUUUGAUCAAGAACGAAAGUUGGGGGAUCGAAGACGAUCAGAUACCGUCGUAGUCUCAACUAUAAACUAUACCAGCUAGGGAUCGGUCAACGUUUAAUCAUUCGACUUGAUCGGCACCUUAUGAGAAAUCAAAGCAUCUGGGUUCCGGGGGGAGUAUGGUCGCAAGGCUGAAACUUAAAGGAAUUGACGGAAGGGCACCACCAGCCGUGGAGCCUGUGGCUUAAUUUGACUCAACACGGGAAAACUUACCAGGUCCAGACAUAGUAAGGAUUGACAGAUUGAUAGCUCUUUCUUGAUUCUGUGGGUGGUGGUGCAUGGCCGUUCUUAGUUGGUGGAGUGAUUUGUCUGGUUAAUUCCGUUAACGAACGAGACCCCAGCCUGCUAAAUAGCGCGGCUGAGCUUUGCUCGGUGCGAGCUUCUUAGAGGGACUAUGAUGCGCGAUAGCACAUGGAAGUUUGGGGCAAUAACAGGUCUGUGAUGCCCUUAGAUGUUCUGGGCCGCACACGGGCUGCACUGGCGCCUGCAACGAGCAUAUCAGCUGGCCCGAGAGGGUCUUGGCUAAUCUUUUGAACCGGCGCCGUGCUUGGGAUUGACCAUUGCAAUUGUUGGUCAUGCAACGAGGAAUGCCUUGUAAACGCGAGUCAUCAGCUCGCAUUGAAUACGUCCCUGCCCUUUGUACACACCGCCCGUCGCUCCUACCGAUGAAUGUUCCGAUGAAAUUUUCGGAGAGCGCCAGAGAACGGGGCUCCGCCUUGCAGAUCUGGAGGCUCAAAGUCACUUAAAUCUGAACAUUUCGAGGAAGGAGAAGUCGUAACAGGGUAACC
rnacentral:rRNA from 1 species